rnacentral:rRNA from 1 species
UACAGAGGAGCCAAGCGUUGUCCGGAUUGACUGGGCGUAAAGCGCACGCAGGCGGACGCGCGCGUGGGGUGUGAAAUCUGGCCGCUUAACGGCCAGGCGCCAUCCCAUACGGCGCGUCUGGAGUGAUGCAGAGGUCGGUGGAAUUGCCGGUGUAGUGGUGAAAUGCGUAGAGAUCGGCAGGAACACCCAGGGGGAAACCAGCCGACUGGGCAUCUACUGACGCUGAGGCACGAAAGCAUGGGGAGCAAACAGG